UUUCAGUUCAAAAAGCACAAGUUGAUCUAGUGGAAUUCGUAGAUUGGAGUGGUGUCGAAUGUCUCAACCAAAAAACUAGUCAUUCCAUUGUUAAUGCCCUAAAACAGGGUAACAGAGAAGACGAGGGUAUGUAUAUGGAGAGUGAUGCGGAUGAACAGCUCUUGAUUUAUAUCCCCUUUCUCCCAGGUCAUUAAGCUGCAGUCUAUUGUUGUCAAAGGCCCCGCGGAGGAAGGUAAUUAGUGGGUUUCUCUUAACUUUUCGAAGUUACAUUAUCUCCCGUUUACAAUUUUAGGAUUGAUAAUAUUACUACUUGUUCCUUUGUUGCAUUUGAUUUUGUUGCUUAUCUUUCAUUUUUAUUAUAGUGAAUCUGAUGUUCUGUUUUUCUUGCAUGAAACAACUCUUCUGCUAAACUUGCUGUGCUUCUUUGCUUUAUGUUCAAAUAGAAGUGUUGACAUGUUUGAAUUGAAUAUCAUCAAAGUGUGUAAUCCCAGACUUGGCAUUAAUAUUUGCUCGAAUGAAAUGUUCUUCUUGAUUUUUCAAUUGACUGACUGUGAACCAAUAUGAAGAUGGAUAGGCUAACACAUUAAUUUAUUGACGUCCCAUGUACACAGAACUAAAGUGAUCAACUUACUGACUAGUGAUUAGUGAUUA